UAUCCUACUCUUUAGUAGAAGUGAUUUAUUUUUCUGUAGCUAUAAUGAGAAACAUUUCUUCUAUUUUUUUCUAAGGUAGGAUUCCCAAAGCUAAGCCCU